rnacentral:ncRNA from 12 species
CCCGCCCGGGUCCGUGGUUGCGCCGGACCACUCGUCCCUCGCGGGGCAGUGGACCGGCAAGCCGAUGCCAGUCGCAGGCGAAACGGUCCACGUAAGGCGACUUCUUGUCGUCCGAUCACGGUGCGGCUUAGAAGUAAGUCCUGCCCCGCCGGAGGCCCAGAUGACCUCCGACCCGGGAGAAGGGGGUAGUGGCGGCUACCGCUGCGAGACCCUCAGCAGGCGGAUGGUGGGGUCGAAGACCGAGGUCGGCCGGGUGGG